UCUCCGUUGGUGAACCAGCGGAGGGAUCAUUACUGAGUUCUACAAAACUCCCAACCCUAUGUGAAUUUUACCACUGUUGCCUCGGCUGAGCAGCACCUAUGCUGAGGAGAGCUACCCUGGAGCUACCCUGGAGAAGUUUGAGAGCACCUACCCUGUAGGAGUUUGAGAGCAUCUACCCUGGAGACGCUUUCAGAGUUACCACUCUUCUCACUGUAGGGGCAACCUAUGUUCGGUCGGCGGACCACUACACUCUGUUUUACAGCGUAUCUCUGAGUACUAAAAAAAUAAGUUAAAACUUUCAACAACGGAUCUCUUGGUUCUGGCAUCGAUGAAGAACGCAGC
rnacentral:misc_RNA from 1 species